rnacentral:rRNA from 1 species
GACGAACGCUGGCGGCGUGCUUAACACAUGCAAGUCGAACGGAAAGGCCCUGCUUUUGUGGGGUGCUCGAGUGGCGAACGGGUUAGUAACACGUGAGUAACCUGCCCUUGACUUUGGGAUAACUUCAGGAAACUGGGGCUAAUACCUUAUAGGAGCUCCUGCUGCAUGGUGGGGGUUGGAAAGUUUCGCGCGUUGGGGGUUGACUCCCGGAUUAUCAGUUUGUUGUUGGGGUAUCGGAUUACCAAGUCUUUGACGCGUUGCCCGCCUGAGAGGAGAGCCGGCCACAUUGGUACUGCGAUACGUCCCAACCCAAUACCGGACGCAGCAGUAGGAAAUAUUGAACGAUGAAAGGAAGCAUAAGACAGCAACGCCGAGUGCGGAAGUACGGCUUUUGGGUUAUAAAACGCAUUCGCAUGUGAAGAAGCGUUAGUAACGGUAAUGGAUAAAGAAGCACCGGCUAACUACGUG